CCAGGGCUACACACGUGCUACAAUGGCGCAUACAAAGAGAAGCGACCUCGCGAGAGCAAGCGGACCUCAUAAAGUGCGUCGUAGUCCGGAUUGGAGUCUGCAACUCGACUCCAUGAAGUCGGAAUCGCUAGUAAUCGUGGAUCAGAAUGCCACGGUGAAUACGUUCCCGGGCCUUGUACACACCGCCCGUCACACCAUGGGAGUGGGUUGCAAAAGAAGUAGGUAGCUUAACCUUCGGGAGGGCGCUUACCACUUUGUGAUUCAUGACUGGGGUGAAGUCGUAACAAGGUAACCGUAGGGGAAC
rnacentral:rRNA from 1 species